rnacentral:rRNA from 1 species
CGGUACAACGAGUCGCAAGACCGCGAGGUUUAGCAAAUCUCUUAAAGCCGUUCUCAGUUCGGAUUGUAGGCUGCAGCUCGCCUACAUGAAGUCGGAAUCGCUAGUAAUCGCGGAUCAGCAUGCCGCGGUGAAUACGUUCCCGGGCCUUGUACACACCGCCCGUCACACCAUGAGAGUUUGUAACACCCAAAGCCGGUGGGGUAACCUUUUGGAGCCAGCCGUCUAAGGUGGGACAGAUGAUUGGGGUGAAGUCGUAACAAGGUAGC